rnacentral:lncRNA from 1 species
AACUGGAGCCUCAGCCUUGCCCCUGAUUCAGGAACAAUCCUUCUAAUUGACUUACAGCCCAACACUUUGGGACUUAACUUCAAGCCACCCUUUAUGUUCAGCUCUAAUGUUAUAACAUAUUUAUAGUAAUGCUGCCUUCUUAUAACGAAACUUAUUUCUCACCUAAUAUUUUCCUCUGCAUCUUGAUAACUUCUGCGAUAUUACCAUUCCACAUAGCAUUUGAGUAAGGCUUUUUUUCUCCCUUCAUUUAUGAUUCUUAAUAUUCUUAAUAUAGAACAUAAUGUUAUUUAUUGGCACACAUAAGGAUGUACUCUGGGAUAUAUGUAUCUAUAUAUAUAUCUGUACGUAAUGCAGCAUAUUGGAAUUAUCAACAACUGGAAUCAUGAAGUUUUAUCCAUAGUCACAACUAAGGCCAAUAAACACUUUCCUGGAUCUCUAAAUCCUCCAGACCCUAGAGGUAUGCUUCAUUUCUAAUACUCAUUCUUGGGCCUCUGCAAUGCUGACCAUUUAUGGCAUAUUGUCCCGCCCUUAGAUAUGUGGGCUGGUUGGACUUCUUAGAAGUACAUACAGCUGGGUCUGUAUACUGCUUUCCAGACUGCAGGGCAAGUCCAGUUUCAGGUUCUAAGGGUCGCUAGACUGCCUCAUUUUGCUACAUGUUAUCUCCCUUAUCUUCCUGUAUCCCACUAUAGAGCUACCUCAUUCAUCAUUACUGACAAUGUACAUUUUGUAAAUGCUUAUUAUGUAUAAGCCAGUCUUCUUGUUUCAAAAAGAAUCUACUUCCUAUGGUUCCUGAACAGCUUACUCCACAUAAAUGGAAUACACAUUCUUCCAUGUCUUUUUUGAUUCUUUAGGACUUGUGUGUGUCUCUUAUUCUAAGUCAGUUGUUUAUUUCAGGAUGACCUGGCUUUUCUCCAUUCUCCUUUAUAACCUUAUUUGAAUAUGAUAUGUUUAGAAUGCUGAACAGCUAAAGAAACGUAUCCCAGAGGUUACAUAUGAUACUUUCUCUUAAUUUUCCCCUUUCGUUAAUGACACCUAGAUGUAUUCCUAUGUUUAGGAAGUGUUUGUUAAGCUAGGCACAUUAGCUUAUUUCAACUUUUCAGGAAGUCUUAGUGAUAUAACUUCCUUAUCUACCAAAUGCAGACUCGCACAUGUUAUUUAUCUUGUAUCUGUUCACUGCUGUGAACUCUUUGCUGGAAAGUUAAAUACUGUGAUUUUGUUGGUGAGUUGUUAUUGUUGUGUGUGUGGCUUUUUGGUCUGGUUUUGGCAGUAGCAACAAAUGAUACAUCAUAGGCUUAUGUAAGGUUUACAAAUAAAACCAAACAAGUGUAUAUGAAUGAAGACAUGGCAGAAAUAAAUACAGAUGUAGGCGUUAACACUCUAGGCAAUUCUUCCUCACCUAUUUUUGUUCAUCUUUUGUUAUUUAUAGAUAUGCAAAUUACCGGAUCAUUAAGUCAUUCAAGUUAGAAUAUAUGGAAUGUACUUAGUGAGUACUCUUUUCUAAUAUACAAUAUUCUUUAGGACAUUCAGUAACAGCUUGAAAGGGGAGAAGACAUCAGAUGAGAAGGUUAAGAAAAAGGAGAACAUGCUUCUAAACCAUACCUCUAAAUCAAACUCAGAUUCGGUAUUAGAAAUGCAGACUAAGAGGAACUUAUUUCAGGUAAAGAUUCCAAAUAUCUUAUUGAUAACAAAACCAAUGUGUCUGCACAUCAGGAUCCGUAUAUUUUCAAGGGAACAUUACCUACUGGGCAGAGAGCUCAAGAAUAAUUAUUUGACUUCAUUUUCAGUUUUUAAUACUAUAUUCAUAUGCAAAUGGACCCAAAAAAUGCAAAGUUUUCAUUACUAAAUGAAUUACUUAAAGGUUAGAGUAUAUCUCCUAUAGCAGUAAUUUAAAAAAUAUAGAUUACUAAAUUGAGCCAUCACAAAGUCAAUACAGGUAUGUACACAGCAAGCAUAUAAACUUACAGCAACAUUAUGGCUAAAAUUAACUUUGAGGAAUAUUUCCUACAGUGUACUUCAAGGUGUAAAUAUGGCAGUAUUGGGAGUUAUCUUCGUCGAUACCAGUCCAGCUUUAGAAAAGAUGAAGGGCCUUACAGCGGGAGAGUCUAAUUUGAUCAGAGGGAGAGUGUAAUACAAAGCAUCCCCUGGGAAAGUUAUGAGGGUCUCAGGUCCAAGUGCUGCUCAAAAGACCGAAAUAAAGACACUGCAGUACUAACUGUCUAGUGAAGAGUGGGAAGGAAUUAUCUCCCAGGAUAUUUCUGAGGAGCAUCAGGUCAUUGGAUGAUGAUUCAGAAAACACAUAGCCCCAGAGGUCUAAUGAAGGAAAUGAUUGGAUGAGGUAGUUUAAAAGCCAAAGAGUUUUAAUUUGAAUAUAGGAUAGAUUGGUGAAUUUGAAGUUCUGGAGAUUCUCGAACCUUCUUCCUUAGUCUCCUAGACCUCAGUCUCUGCAGUCAACUUUGCUGCAAGGGAGCUAUCCAGGGUACUAGACUCUUGCCUCGAAAUCCUCUCUUGCAAAACUGUGCAAAAGAUUUUGUUGUUUUCGUUUUUGCUAAUCAUAGAGCCUGCUGUUGCAGAUGCUGCAUCAUUCACUUGGAAUGGCUAACCUUCCAUCAUUUGGUUUAUUCCAGUGGGUUCUACAAAGCUUAAUUGAAAUGUAAAGUCAAGGAAGCCUCCUUCAACCCCAUGCAAGAGGCCUAUACACAGCCUGUGUGUAUCACUGUCAUAUCUCCAUUUAAAGUAUCGUAAUUCACUGCUUGUUUGUGCUUCAUGCCCACUAGAUCGUAAGCUCUAUGUAAGUUUUGUGCUUUAUGCUCUUUUUAAAGAAGCUCAUCUAAAUCAGUGAUGUGAAUAUCCUCAGUAAUUGAUAGAUGAAUUUAUACUGCUUAAGAGUGACAUGAGUAUUGUCUAUCUCAUGUGAACUACACCUGGGGCUAGUCAUGGUUCUGAACUGCAUCUAAGCUCUCUUUGAAUAUUGCCCUCCAUGGUUUUUUUUUUAUGGCCUGGAACUGUGUUCUGAACCUGGAACCAAGUAACCUAAAAAUGACUUCAAGUCUUGAAACAAAGAAGGAAUGGAGGAACUCCGGGAACUGUGGCAUACGUACCAUGGACAUUAGGGGAUCCGUAAAGUUUAAAUAAAGCAGCACAGGCUGAUACGGAGAAUGGGGCUCAAAGGAGAGUCUUGUUACUUCCUCAAACACGAAUCUGGAACAUCCACUCCACAUGCAUUUCUAAGGCCUCUGGAGUAUGGCAUCUCCCCUUAAUUCCCACAGCCCAUACCAGCAUUUUGAAAUGUCUGCAAAUCUGAGGUCCUGAGAGGCUAGCAGAAUUCUCUGAAUAAACAAAUGUUUACUAGACCCUGUGUAAAUAUCGGUUAAUGAAAAACAUGUGGUUUCUAUCCUUGUGAAGCUUGUGGCCUAGUUCCCAAUGGUGAUGCCCACUAUGAUCCAUGGUCCUCGGUGAGAAUAGAACGUGGCAGAUUUUGUUCCUCUGUCUUCUUAUGGCCACGUCAGCGACUUCCUGAACUCCGUAAAAGUAAGUGUGCUCGUUUCCAGUACUCCAUCCCCACACUUAGCAUUGCUCUCAGUAUUCAGUGUGGCUACGUCGUCAUUGAAGAACUCUUUCAUUUACAUGUAAGGCAGCCUGUCAUUGGUGUGGUAUUGACUUAAUGAGCACUUUUAAUUAGGUUGGUAAAUUGUGUACUUGUCUGUAUCUUCUGUUAUAGGGACAGUUCAAGAAUAGCGUAGAUAUCACCAUUUUUCUUGCGGUCAGAAAUUCCCUGUGUUUCAAGUGCAUUUUGAACCAUAGGAAAUAGUUGUGCGGUCUUUUCAUGGGACGUAUUUUCACUUUAUAAUUCUGCCUUUCACGUUUUUGAAGCAUAUGUACUGUCUAUCCCAUAUGUCACGGUGCUUGUCAUUUCUGUUUUUUUUUUUUUUUUCUUUCACCUAUUGCCAGCAGGAAUGUUUCAGUUAUGAAGCAUAAAAGGAAAAACUAUAUUUCGAGUGAUUUUUACCCCUUGGGAAACCUAGUUAUGGUAUGCAGAGAAAUAAUGUGGAUUUGAAAUAGAUAUAAAAUAAGUGAAGUUAAAAGUAUUAAAAAUGAAUAAAGCAGAAGAUUUCUGUAACUGUCUUAAAUGAACUCAGUUUUGAAAGUUAGUAAUUUCUUUGCUAAAUGUUUAGAAUUAUGACAAAUAAUAUGAUCAUCAUUUAUUUUAUGGAUUAAAAACUCCUAGUCAUUUUCUAGAAAUACUUGUGAUGAAAUACUCACAUCAGAACUAAGGUUUAAUCCAUCUAAAAGAAGUUUCCUUAAAACUAUUUCAAGGGUGCAUGUGAUGUGUGCUCACAGUUUAGCUCUUUUAUAAUGUAACUGUUAGGAAAGAGAGGUGAAUUUUAGGAAUCAAGUGAAUCUUUUGUGUUGUAUAAGCAUAACGGUAUUCAGCACUUAGUCAAGCCUGGGACUCCUUAGGGACCAAAAGUGGUGAUUGCCUCUGAUUUAGAGUGUGGGUCAUGAAAAGAUGCGGACUGGCUGUGGCUACAUUCUUUCUUCUUCAACAGAAGAAGGUAAUGCAGUUUUCACAUCCAUCAAACCAGUUUAAAUGUCUGUGCAGAUAUCACUGAACUAAAAAUUUUUACUAGAAUACCGUUUGACAUUGAGCCAAAACUUGGAUCGAUCUUUGUUACAUGUGUAUAUGUAUGAACAUGCAUGUGUCUAUAGUAAUGUAAUUUCAUGUAAUGGGCUUUGUCUUAUAAGUUUUUUUCCUAAUAAUGUAGGUGUUUUUAGUUUUCUUGUUUGUUUGUUUGUUUGUUUUUUGAGGGGCAGAGUUUACUCAGCACUCUCCAGAAAAACAGACCCAAUUGUGUAUAUAUGCAUAUCAUCUAUCUACAAGAGGAUUCAUUUUAAGGAAUUAACUUGUGUGAUUGUGGAAUUGUGGAGGCUGGUAAAUCUGAAAUCUCUUGGGUAAACCAGCAGGCCUGAAAUUACGACAGGAUUUUUAUGUUACAGUGUGAGGCAGAAUCCCUUCUUCUCCAAUAAAUUUCAAUUGUUGCUCUUAGGCCUUCAACUGACUCAGUGUGAUCCACCCACAUUAUUGAAGGUGACUGGCUUUACUCAAAGUCAAAUGAUCAUAGACAUUAGUCAUCUCCAUGGAAUACACAGCGACAUCUAGACUAGUGUUUGACCAAACAGUUGGGCACCAUAGCUCAGCCAGCAUUUCACAUGCAAUUUAAUCAGCAGAGAGGGUGAGGGAUAAUAUGAUAACAAGCCCUUUCUAGUUUACAUGAUAAGUUUGUAUGCACAUGCUUUCCUUUGUCCAGAGAUACUUUACCAUUGGUUACUUACUGCUGUAUGUAGGCAUAGGUCUUCAUUCAUUUGUUCUUUACACAUUUGGUAAUCAUUUAUUAAGCCUGCCCUGUGUACAAGAGACAAUAUUAGGCAAUUGAAUAAUUUUAAAAAGUGAAUGACAGAGGCUAAAUCUUCUAAGUGUGUUAGUUCUAGUGGAAGAGCCACAAGUGUAAUAGAUGACUAUACGAUAAGUAAAUUUGCAGAGUAGAAUUUUUUCAGUCAUGUCAAUUAAAUGUCAUUUCCCCCAUGAGGAGUAAAAAAAAAAA